UAAGACGAACCGUGCGAACGUUAUUCGGAAUCACUGGGCUUAAAGCGCGUGUAGGCGGCCCGGAGCAUCGUCGGCUGAAAUCCCCCGGCUCAACCGGGGAACGGGCCACGAGAUGUCCGGGCUGGAGGGGGGUAGGGGGAGCCGGAACUCACGGUGGAGCGGUGAAAUGCGUUGAGAUCGUGAGGAACGCCCGUGGCGAAAGCGGGCUCCUGGACCCCACCUGACGCUGAGACGCGAAAGCCAGGGGAGCGAACGGGAUUAGAUACCCCGGUAGUCCUGGCCGUAAACCAUGAGCACUGGGUAGGGGGCUCGCCGAUGGGCUCCCUGCCGCAGCGAAAGCGUGAAGUGCUCCGCCUGGGGAGUAUGGUCGCAAGGCUG
rnacentral:rRNA from 1 species